rnacentral:rRNA from 1 species
GACGAACGCUGGCGGCGUGCUUAACACAUGCAAGUCGAACGGUAAGGCCCUUCGGGGUACACGAGUGGCGAACGGGUGAGUAACACGUGGGUGAUCUGCCCUGCACUUCGGGAUAAGCCUGGGAAACUGGGUCUAAUACCGGAUAGGACCACUGCCUGCAUGGGUGGUGGUGGAAAGCUUUUGCGGUGUGGGGUGGGCCCGCGGCCUAUCAGCUUGUUGGUGGGGUGAUGGCCUACCAAGGCGACGACGGGUAGCCGGCCUGAGAGGGUGACCGGCCACACUGGGACUGAGAUACGGCCCAGACUCCUACGGGAGGCAGCAGUGGGGAAUAUUGCACAAUGGGCGCAAGCCUGAUGCAGCGACGCCGCGUGAGGGAUGACGGCCUUCAGGUUGUAAACCUCUUUCAGCGCCGACGAAGCGCAAGUGACGGUAGGUGCAGAAGAAGGACCGGCCAACUACGUGCCAGCAGCCGCAGUAA